UACGUAGGGUGCUAGCGUUGUUCGGAUUUAUUGGGCGUAAAGGGCGCGUAGGCGGUCCGCUAAGUUCGGCGUGAAAUCCCCUGGCUCAACUGGGGAACGGCGCUGGAUACUGGUGGACUCGAGUACCGGAGAGGAGAGUGGAAUUCCUGGUGUAGCGGUGAAAUGCGUAGAUAUCUGGAGGAACACCGGUGGCGAAGGCGGCAUCCUGGGCCGGUAUUGACGCUGAGGCGCGAAAGCCAGGGGAGCAAACGGG
rnacentral:rRNA from 1 species